CCAUGUCACCUAUUUUUGUCCUCCACCAUGUGAUCUAUUUUUAUACCAGAGAAACAUAAUAUAGUUACAUUUACUUGUACAAAGCCCAUUUCAUCUACAUUUAUCUGCACCAUUUUGCUAUGCAAGCUUGUUUGCACAAAGGAACUUACAUGAGAUCAAAAUCUUAUUUUCUUGGAAUUUUAUCUGUGUGGAAAAAGGCAUCCCAAAUAUAAGCUGGACCACCCAUAGUCCAUUUCCUUGCAAGGGAAAGAGUCCAAACACUUUAAAAAACUUUCUAGAUAUGGACAUAUCUAGUGGAUGCCUAGACAUGGAUAUGAAUUUCUUUCUGAAAUGGCAGUCUCACUGACCAAGUACAGAUGCUAGUGGUUUUAAAGAUUGGGUCUGUGAUGUGCAAAAUAUUUCAUAUCUAACAUGCAGUUAUUGGAUCACUGUGUUCACACUCAUAAGAGUCAGUACAGCUCUUUAAAAACAGGCUGUAAAGCUUACAGCCUCCAAGUCUAGGAAAGGAAAUUCAUGGGUAUUGAUCAUCUACUGUAUGCCAGGCACCACUGAAGUGCUUUACAUCUGUUCAGCUGACUCCUAAAUGAAUGGAGGUUGGGGUUAGUGGGGAAAUGGAAGACUUGGGCCACAAGCUGUGGUCUUAGAAACUGAUGAUGGGACAUGGGGAGAGCCAUGAGAUAAAGGAAAUUAAGUCUGAGUUCCAAAUGAGGAGUCCUCUGGAGCAAGGAACAGCCCCCAAACCUCAAUUUAGGGCUGUGAGGGAGAAGAGGGUGGGGAGAGAAGGACUGCAUCCAAAAUGGAAAUUCUACAACUCCGCUGAUGCCUCCAUCGCCCCAGAGGAGACCCAUAAAGCAAAACCAUGAAGAAACACUGGGGAGUCUGAAUCCUUUAUAGAACAUCUUUAGCUCAGUUUGUGGGCAGGGAAGGGAUCAGUCUUCAAAUUCAUUCAUUACAUGCAUUAUCUCAAUCCUUGCAACAA
rnacentral:lncRNA from 1 species